GACGAACGCUGGCGGCAUGCCUAAUACAUGCAGGUCGAGCGGAGUUGAUGGAAAGCUUGCUUUCCUGAUACUUAGCGGCGGACGGGUGAGUAACACGUAGGCAACCUGCCCUCAAGCUUGGGACAACUACCGGAAACGGUAGCUAAUACCGAAUACUUGUUUUCUUCGCCUGAAGAGAACUGGAAAGGCGGAGCAAUCUGUCACUUGGGGAUGGGCCUGCGGCGCAUUAGCUAGUUGGUGAGGUAACGGCUCACCAAGGCGACGAUGCGUAGCCGACCUGAGAGGGUGAUCGGCCACACUGGGACUGAGACACGGCCCAGACUCCUACGGGAGGCAGCAGUAGGGAAUCUUCCGCAAUGGGCGAAAGCCUGACGGAGCAAUGCCGCGUGAGUGAUGAAGGUUUUCGGAUCGUAAAGCUCUGUUGCCAGGGAAGAACGCUUGGGAGAGUAACUGCUCCCAAGGUGACGGUACCUGAGAAGAAAGCCCCGGCUAACUACGUGCCAGCCGCCGCGGUAA
rnacentral:rRNA from 1 species